AGCAGGGGGAGUCUAGCGCUUGGUGAAGAGCACCGGAACUUCCUCCUCAGAUAAUAUUACACGCUGAAGCAGAAGUUACGUGUCUGGCUCUUUCGUUCAAAUAUUCCUCUUCUUCAGGUGUGAAUUUAUAUAUAAACAGAGCUGUAAAUUACUUUAUUAACGUUUGGGAAGCAUGGAAAUUAUCCAUAACCAACUUCAACUGACCUCAAGUGAGAUGCUGUAAAUGGAUUUAUGUUUUCCCUCUGCGCAUAUGCUGCUUGAAGCAAACCAGCUCUGCCUUGAUCAGCAUUUUUGUGAAAUGCUCUGAAGAUGGGGAACUCAUAAACAUGUGAUUCCAGCUUCCACACACCACAUUUCAAAGUGUCCUUGGACACGAUUCUGAAUCCCAUGUUACCCACCCAUCACCAAAUCGGUGUGUGACUGGGUGAUUUUGACUUGUAUUGUAAAAGUGCUUUGAGUUGUCAGUAAGGAUAGAAUAGCACUAUGUAAAUGUGGUCCAUUUAGUUGCUUUAAUAAAGUCUUGUAUUUCUCGUGUAUUCUUCUGUGAAACGAGAAGCUGAAGCUUUGUGAGGUUGUUCAAAUCAUCGUUGUGCCAGCAUCAGACUUUAAGAAUAUUUAAAUAUUCGGAUGCUGGCAGAAAAUAUUGUCAGAUAUUUUGUUUUAAUUACUUUGUUUAUUUUUAUUUUUUUUUAUUCUGUUAGAUUAUGACCAUCAAGUGUUUUUUGAGAAUAAAGUAAUAAACAU